rnacentral:lncRNA from 1 species
UGAGUACCUUUACGCUUUGCCGAGAUGUAAGGGGCCAUUUUAGGAUUCCAUUUCUUAAUACCAUGACCAAAAUGAACUCCCGCUUCUAUCAUCUCUUUCAAAUUGAUGUUCCAAUAUCUUUUUGUCAUUUUUUCCACACUUCCUUUUUAUUUUUUUGUUUUUUUUCAUCUAACCAUUACCGAAUUAAUUUCUUUUUGAAGAUUAAGAAAGAGCCAAAAUAGCUUGAAAUAAAUAAUAAUUGUUCCCAUGAAACCUUCUACUCAGAAUUGACCAUCGAUACAUGCUAUAAACAUAUCCUUAAUGAAUUAACUAACUUCUUUUAGUUAUUAAAAUACAAAAUCUAAAAUCGGACCUGUUAGCAUUCUAAGGUCAAAAGUAUAGUUUAAAUUAAAGUAAAAAUAAAAAGUUGCUUUAUGUAUACUUGAAUUGUAUAAAUAGCGGUAAACAGGGCUUCUGAUGUUUCAUAGAAAUUGUUUGUUACAUCAAAAUCAGAAGAAACUAAUUCUGUAUGGAGAAACAAAAUAUCUCUCAUUUCCGACGCGAAUAGUUUUUUUUGAAUUUCAAAAUAAAGGUUCUUGUCUUGUGGGGAACGAUGGACAAAUUUUUGGAACCCGGUAGGUAUAAUCUCCCCCCCCCCCCAAGAACUACAUUUUCUUUCAGGGCUUUCAACCAAUUAAUACGACCUCGUAGGGCAGCUUUUGCUAAAACUCGAGCAGUUUCUUGAAAACUUGCUUGAGAUAUGAAACUUUGGAUAUUCAAGGAAGCCCUUGUUAUUCCCAAUAAGAUUGCCCGAUAAUAGAACAAUUCAUCUAAAGCCCGCCCUGCUAGUUCCGCUCUCAAUAGUCCUAUUAAUUCCCCAGGUAAAAAAACAUUAGACAUUCCAUCUUCGGAAACCCUUGCUUUUGAUGUUACUUGGCGUAUAGUAAUCUCUAUAUGUCUAUUAUGGAUCUCUACCCCUUGGGAUCGACAAACCUUUUGUAUCUUAUUAACCAAAAAGAUACGACUUUGGGCUAUGGUUAGCUCAGCUUCAAUCAAGAAUCCCCAGGGAACCCCAAGAAUUCUUUGUAUACGUUCGUUCCAAUCCUCAAUUCUCCUUUCAAGAUUCGGCAAUAGUGAAUCAAUUGAACAGUUGCUCCUAUAGUGGCCAAAUAAGGCUUAGCUGCUCUUAGAACAAAGGAGUCCAUAUUAACGAUGAAAAUUUGACCUGAUUUUUUUAUGUGCGAUUUAAAUAGACAUACAUUUUCAUAAAUAAAUUGUCCAAGGUGAAUCAUUGCCGAUGUCUCUUCCCACGAGUCAUGAUGGAGAAAGUGCCAAUUCAAAUGGAAUGGCUCUAACAUGAUGUUACUGUUGAAAUUCGAAAUCCUUUUAUUUUUGUCUAUUAAAUACUAUUUAAGUCCUUGAAGUACUUGGAAGGUUUGUUUCAAAUUUUCAAGGAACAAGUAUUUUUUUAACAAGAUCUGAUUAUGUGUUAUUAAAUAGUAAGAUGAAGAAAAAUUUGAUAUACUAGGUACAAUAGCGCCUAAGAGCCCAAAAAUAUCUCAAAUAGGAAUUCUAGGAUUCGAUUCCUUUACCGUAUUAGGAUACUUUGAAUUCUUGAAUAAACCAAUUCGAGAACAGUUGGAUGCCCACAAAAUCAUCAAAGAUCGAUUACUUCGAUUCAACAAGGUGCCAAUAGCUUCUUGAUGUUGGCUAACUGAUUGAAUCUUUGCCUUGGAAUAAAAGGAAUUGGUAUUGUUGCGAUCUAAUCUGUUAUUGGGAAUCAGUCCUACACUUGUCCUAUCAUAACUUCUUCGUGUAUACCAAGUAGUAGAAUUAACUAAGUCAAUUCUUAGGAAAUCGCGAAUCAGAUCAUUUGUUCUUACCUCAUCAAGAGAAGCACGAGCCCCCCUCAUUUUCUUCUUGUUCCCAAUUCACUACUAAGCAAGUUCGAAUGAAUUGACUAUUCGUGUGAUAAAUUCUUUGAGUUAACUUGCUAUUUUCAUUACAAAUAAAAUUGACAUGUUGAAGUUGGAGAUUAUCCUCUUCUUGCAGGAGAUCCUACAAGAAAAGUGUUGCUAAAUUUCUCCCUUCGUCCAUUUGAUAUGCGACUGCAGGUCGGACCGAAACAAAAUACUUUUCCUUGCUUUUGAGAAUUUUUUUUGUUGAACAUAAACCCAAUUUUUCCUUUAUUUUGAUUCCUUAGAAUCUUUUUUCUCUUUCUAGUGGUAUCAAACUGCCACCUAAUAUCUUAUCCGCCUCUUCAGGAAAAUGAAUAUCCUCGGAAAGAUUUUGAGCUCUGUAUGGCUUUUAAUUCUCUUCACUCGGACCAAUCCACCUAGUUGACUUCUUCUACUUUUUGUGAGUUGUGUAUUGCCUCCAAUAAUACUAUUAUCAAGUACCUUUAGGGUUGAGGAUCUCAGCAAGAGAUGCAAUUCUUGAAGAAUGAAAAAAAACCGAUCUACUUCUUUUUGGUAUUUUUGGACUAAAUUCUUUUGUUCCUCGAUGCUCAAUGAAACCCUCCUUUUUAAGAUGGAAUCUUCCCUCGGGCUCCCAUAUUUCAUCUUCAGAGUCUUCCUCUGAGUCUUCUUCUAAAGUCUCAUAUUCCUUUUCUGAGCCAUCUUCAGAGCUCCCAUAUUCUUCUUCCGAGUCUUCCUCUGGAGCCCUAUAUUUGUCUUCUAGGAUUUCAUAUUCGCCCUCUCCCUCUCGGGUCUUAUAUUCAUUCUCUGGGCUACCAUAUUCUUCCUCCAAGUCUUUCUCUAGAGUCCUAUAUUCGUCCUCUAGGAUCCCAUAUUCAUCUUCUAGGGUUUCAUAUUCAUCCUCUAGAGUCCUAUAUUCAUCUUCUAGGAUUUCAUAUUCACCCUCUCCCUCUCGGGUCCUAUGUUCAUUCUCUAUGCUCUCAUAUUCCUCCUUUGAGUAUUUCUCUCAAGUCCUAUACUCUUCCUCUCGAGUCCUAUACUCUUCCUCUCAGGUCCGAUAUUCUUCCUCUAGGGUCCUAUAUCUAAAUUUAACAAUUCCUGAACCCCUUUUAUCUUGUUUGUAUCUUGGAUCAUCAAAAUAAGCAAAAAUAGUAUUUCUAUGUAACACACCCAUAAAGGGUAUUUCAAUUGAAAUACCCAAACAGGAUAUUAGCUCUUUCUCUUGUUCUUGAUGAUAUUGUAAUGGAAUAACGAACCCAUUUCUUCGCUUUUUCACCAACAAAUCCGAGUUAUCUUGAAGAAUAGAAGGAUAGACAAAAUUCCAAUGACC